AAAGCCCGGAGGAGGAGCCCUUCUCCGCGACUGGGCUCCUGAGGGUUAGAUUCAGGAACCGGUGAAAGCUUUUGAAGGUUUGGAGCUGGGGACGCCGGAAAUGAGAUUUGCGGUUGCUGUCAUGCCCAAAGGAAAACAACAAGAAAGCAGGGCCAGCCUGCUGCAGUGGUUAGGGCAUCAGUCUCCACUGAAGAUGAAUUCCCAGGGUAUCUAGAAACCUCUGUGGAAUGUAGCUUUAAGAUCUAAAGUUGCUUGUCUCAGCUCCCCCCACCCCGUCUAAUGCCAGUGUGGGGCUAUGGGGCCUUGGACUCAGAACUGCUGCUCUUGGCAGUCCUCUUGGAGAGGGAACCUGUCAGUUGAAGGGAUUUAUUUUUCCUCGAACCAUUUUUAAAUAUGUUAUCUUAGCUAAUGUGAUUUGCUGAUAAUUCGUCGAGUCUGUUUUAAUAUCUUUUUUGUAUAUUUUUUACAGCAUGUCUUUUUACUGUAUUUGUUUUAUAUUAUUUUAUUCUUUUUAGUAGUCUUUCUAACUUAUUUGCUUUAUCAAAAUGACAUCAGCAGGGGCGCCUGGGGGGCUCAGUUGGUGAAGGGUCUGCCUUCGGCUCAGGUCAUGAUCUCAAGGUCCUGGGAUCCAGUCCUGCAUUGGGUUCCUUGCUCAGCUGGAGCCUCUUCUCCCUCAGCCCCUCCCCUGCUUGUGCUCAUGCACUCUCUCUCUCUGACAAAUAAAUAAAUAAAAUCUUUUUUUAAAAAAUGACACUAGCAGGAUUUCUAAUUAUAAAAGUAAUUUCUAUUUUUGUGUGAGGGAAGGAUGUUUGUACAUUCUUAGAAGAAAAUAAGGGCAAGGACCCACCAAACCUAAUAAUUGUUGUUACCAGCAUACAUGCCUGCUUUAUAUUCACUUUAUGGUUCUUUGGUAAUAUUGGCCUUUUUCUAAGCCAAAUACCAUAUAUUAUUUUUCGAUAAAAAUAUUUUUAAAAAUUAAUAAAGGUGCAUAUAUAAUUGUUAUUAAAAUAGGUACCAUCAAAGAUGUAAAGAAAGGGCGCCUGGGUGGCUCAGAUGGUUGGGCGUCUGCCUUCGGCUCAGGUCAUGAUCCCAGGGUCCUGGGAUCGAGUCCCACAUCGGGCUCCCGGCUCAGCGGGGAGCCUGCUUCUCCCUCUGACCCUCUCCCCUCUCAUGCUGUUUCUCUCUCGCUCGCUCUCUAAAAAAUAAAUAAAAUCUUUAAAAAAAAAAAAAAGAUGUAAAGAAAAAAGUAAAAUAACUCAAAAGAGUUAAACCCUGCUCUCAUUUUAUGUGUACCAUUAUAUACAAUAUCAUAUGUUAUUAUAUAUUUGUAUUAUAUAUUAUACUAUAUAUUAUAUAUUUAUAUUAUAUAUUAUGUUAUAUACAGUAUGUUUAUAUAUCUAUAUUAUGUAUUUAUCUUCUAAUAUAUAUAUGAUUAUGCUGUAAUGAUAUUUUACACUCUUUUUUUUAAGAUUUUAUUUAUUUAUUUGACAGAGAGACACAUAGCGAGAGAGGGAACACAAGCCGGGGGAGUGGGAGAGGGAGAAGCAGGCUUCCCACGGAGCAGGGACCUCGAUGUGGGGCUCAAUCCCAGGACCCUGGGAUCAUGACUUGAGCCGAAGGCAGACGCUUAACGACUGAGCCACCCAGAUGCCCCUUACACUCUUUUUCUACUUACAGAUAUAUUGUUGGUCUUUUCCACAUAAAAGAUAGACAUCUACAUGAUUAUUGUAAUAUUUCCCAAUAUUGAGUUGACUGUAUUGUGAUUUAACAAAUUCUAUAUUGAUAGACAUAGAUUAAUCUCUAUUUUCUGCAAACAUACAUAAUGCUGUGGUGAACAUUCUUGUACAUACCUCUUUGCAUAAAUUUUUUCUUACAAUUUUUUUGCUUUUGAUAUUUUAUUGUGCUUCUAAUAUUUUUAUUUUAUAGAUACCUGGCAGCAAUGAUAUUUUUCAAAUGACAUUUUGAUUGAGAUUUAAAAAGCAAUAGAUGUAAAUUCUGAGAUCAAAUCACCAUAAGCAAACUUUUCAAUGGAACGGUCCAGAACCCAAUUCAUGCUCUCAGGAGGGAAACUGGUGGAGCAGUUUCUCUGGAGAACACUUGGUGGGCUACGGGGACAGUUGGAAGUCCUGUCCUCUAUCCCCAAGCCCAGUGAGGGAUCUUCAAAGGGACCCUUCAGAGAGCUUGCUGUAUCUCCUGCAGAUGGGCCAAUGGUGGCCUGAGGUGAGCGGAUUGGCCGCUUUGAUGGCAGAGCCAGGGGAAGUGGCUGCAUUGGGUCUAACUGCCUCCCAGAGUUCGCAGGGACCAAGAAUGGGUCUGCCUCCUGAGCCAGCAGAAUGGCAGAGUCACCAAGGAAUCGUCAGAUCCUGCCUAAGAGAGCCAACGGCAUGGGUAGGGAGACCUCAUUUGAGUGAUCGUGAAGGUGGUCCACCAGGGCCUAUAAGGGGAAUGCGAGGGACCCCCUGGAAGAGUGGGGUUCUCAGCCUUGUUGUGGGAACUCAAGGGAAAGGUCUCCAUAAUGGGAAACUCCAGAGAUGUACAAAAACUCCCCAGGAGAGAAGGAGGGAGAUGAAGAGGGAAGGAGGGUGCACGAGAGAGAGCUCUAAGCACCUGCCAGCCCAGAGAGCCUGAAGCUAGCGCCCACUGUGGCAUCACCUCCAUUAGGAGCUGUCUUAUCACCUUGGCACUCCUGCCCUGGCAUUCCACCAGCAGCUCAAGGAGGUGUGGGGAGAAGAGACCGACCUCAUUCCUCCUUUCCCAGGGCAGACUUCCAGCUAAAGAGGCCCAGGCUGGGUAGGGGAGAAGAUUUUGAUACUGGCUGAGCUAAGUUUGACUUUUGCGUUAAUAUUCUGGACGGUACCUUCAGUUACUGAAUGGAGACUACGCCUUCAAAUGACCCUAGGACUGAAUGUCACCUAAGAGGAAGCAGAGAGUCAUGGGUCUGCUGGUUUGGGUUGUUUUUUUAUCCAGAGAGGGGAAUGAUUCCCACAGUGAGUACAUGUGAAAGGAAUGGUGGAAGAAAAAAAAAUGAAGUUGCAUUUGAUUACCUUCAGAGCUGUGCUUGUUCAAAACAAUUUGAGAAAAGACCAUGGGCGCAGGUGGAAGCUGCCCAGCUCGGGGACUCUCAGACACCCUCCCUCCUGCAUGGGCUGCAUGGCCUCCAGCCCUCUGCACAUAACUGGCCCUCCGAGCAGCACCGUGGAGCUACAGGCCUCAAGUCCUAGUAAAUGAAGAAACUCCGGGGACAGCAUGUGACCCCUCCUGGUGACACUUGAGCGGUAAGAAGUGCAAGACAGCCUAGGCAGGUCUAUAUUUGGGCUUUCACACAUGGCAAGCCUGUUGCUAUUUGCAGCGGGAGCCGGCUCAUGUUACCAUCACCUUCCGCGCCCCAGGGGCAGAGCCCCUGCUGUAAGGCAGGCAGGGGUAGCCUUUGGGGCUCUCACAGGUAGGUGGGAGGGAAAUCCUCUGUUUCCUAGCCCUUCUCCAGAGGCCUCGGAGGUAAAAGAAGAACCUGCGGACCCUUAAAUCAGCAGGGAAAGAGAUAUCAUCUUAAAUUGCAGACGUGUAAAUGGCAAUCAACAGUGGGGAUGCUUUCUGUGCCGUCCCGUAGCGUGGACUCGCCUUGACUGAAUGCGGUGUUGGUACAGAGUGCGAAAGCCUCUCGCGGAUCGAAAGAGACUGGCUGGCGAUUUCUUGCAAUGUGCCCUUAGACUAUUUUUAGUGCAGGGGCCCAAUUGCUAGAACUGUUUGGAACCCUAUGUAGUGUUAUCCUCUGGCUGCAGUGGCGGGCUGAUAAAUACAUUUUAUUUUAAUCUG